rnacentral:rRNA from 1 species
UAGGGAAUCUUCCACAAUGGGCGAAAGCCUGAUGGAGCAACGCCGCGUGAGUGAAGAAGGGUUUCGGCUCGUAAAACUCUGUUGUUAAAGAAGAACAUAUCUGAGAGUAACUGUUCAGGUAUUGACGGUAUUUAACCAGAAAGCCACGGCUAAAUACGUGCUAG